GUCCUUUUAAUGUUGCAAAUGUCAUUUUAUCAUAAGGUUUUGCACUUUUUGUUAUAUUUAGGACAUACCAUUUGUUUAAAACUUUCAUUUGUAUAAUUUCGGAAAUUACGGUAAUUGAUAUGCAUUUGCGGGAAUUAAUAUAGCAAUAGCGGUAAUAACCAUAGCAUUUGCGGUAAUUGAUAUGCAUUUGCGGUAAUAGAUACAGCAUUUACUGGUAAUAUUUACAUCAUUUACUUCAUCUUAAUCAACAAAUAAAGAGCAAAUGAGAGCAAUUGUAUCUUUCUUUGAUACCGACAGGUUCAAAAGUAUAAACAACAAUUGAAAUACUUAAUGCAGA
rnacentral:lncRNA from 1 species